UAAGAUUAAGACACUUUAAUUUGCAUCAUUCUUCUUCUUGAAUGUAUUUCCAAGAACCAGAAAUUAAAAAGAAAAUUCUACCAAACAAAGCGGCAAAAAUAUAAUUUUUGCGAUAAAAACAGAUAAGAAAUAGCUUUUCAAGCGGAGGUUAAGCUGCCGCCCUUUGCCACGCCCUCUAUUGUUGCCCCCACAAACAAAGAGAGAAGGCCAUCGUCCCGAAAUGACAACACAAACGCCUCACAAAUAAUCGUUUAGCUCGCCCAUUAGCAUAUUUAAUUGUUGAGAAAAUUACCCAAAUAUAAUCCGGCGGGCACUACCGAGUCCAGAACUCCCAAUUCCGGCGGAAAACAGCCCAAAAAGUGGCGGAAAAGCGCGGUUGAUCCCGCGACCCGGAAUGAGAAGAGACCGCAAGAAAAGUCGCGAAGAAAAAGGAAAAGCAACAGAGCCAAAGGGUUAAAAUGCAAAUGAAGAAAGACCAAAGGUCCCA